rnacentral:rRNA from 1 species
CCUACGGGAGGCAGCAGUGGGGAAUCUUGCGCAAUGGGCGAAAGCCUGACGCAGCAACGCCGCGUGCGGGAAGAAGGCCUUCGGGUUGUAAACCGCUUUCAGAAGGAACGAAAAUGACGGUACUUUCAGAAGAAGGUGCGGCCAACUACGUGCCAGCAGCCGCGGUGACACGUAGGCACCAAGCGUUGUCCGGAUUUAUUGGGCGUAAAGAGCUCGUAGGCGGUUCGGUAAGUCGGGUGUGAAAACUUUGGGCUCAACCCAAAGCGUGCAUUCGAUACUGUCGUGACUAGAGUUCGGUAGGGGAGCGGGGAAUUCCUAGUGUAGCGGUGAAAUGCGCAGAUAUUAGGAGGAACACCGGUGGCGAAGGCGCCGCUCUGGGCCGAAACUGACGCUGAGGAGCGAAAGCGUGGGUAGCAAACAGGAUUAGAUACCCUGGUAGUCCACGCCGUAAACGUUGGGGCACUAGGUGUGGGUCUCAACCAACGAGAUCCGCGCCGUCGCAAACGCAUUAAGUGCCCCGCCUGGGGAGUACGGCCGCAAGGUUAAAACUCAAAGGAAUUGACGG